rnacentral:miRNA from 1 species
UAUGCGUGUCUCAGAAUGAUGCAAAUGCCAUUUCCGGGAUUCAAAUUUUAAAAUUUGAAUCCCGGAAAUGGCAUUUGCAUCAUUCUGAGACACG